rnacentral:rRNA from 1 species
CCUACGGGUGGCAGCAGUGGGGAAUAUUGCACAAUGGGGGAAACCCUGAUGCAGCGACGCCGCGUGAGCGAUGAAGUAUUUCGGUAUGUAAAGCUCUAUCAGCAGGGAAGAAAAUGACGGUACCUGACUAAGAAGCCCCGGCUAACUACGUGCCAGCAGCCGCGGUACUAUGUCGGGGGCAAGCGUUAUCCGGAUUUACUGGGUGUAAAGGGAGCGUAGACGGUCCUGCAAGCCAGAUGUGAAAGGCCGGGGCUCAACCCCGGGACUGCAUUUGGAACUGUAAGGCUGGAGUGUCGGAGAGGCAGGCGGAAUUCCUAGUGUAGCGGUGAAAUGCGUAGAUAUUAGGAGGAACACCAGUGGCGAAGGCGGCCUGCUGGACGAUGACGGACGUUGAGGCUCGAAAGCGUGGGGAGCAAACAGGAUUAGAUACCCCUGUAGUC